UACGUAGGGGGCAAGCGUUGUCCGGAUUUAUUGGGCGUAAAGAGCGUGUAGGCGGCCAUUCAGGUCAGCUGUGAAACUCGAGGCUCAACCUCGAGACGUCGGUUGAAACCGUUUGGCUAGAGUCCGGAAGAGGAGAGUGGAAUUCCCGGUGUAGCGGUGAAAUGCGCAGAUAUCGGGAAGAACACCCGUGGCGAAGGCGGCUCUCUGGGUCAUUACUGACGCUGAGGCACGAAAGCGUGGGGAGCAAACAGG
rnacentral:rRNA from 1 species